rnacentral:miRNA from 1 species
GCCCAGGACUUUGUGCGGGGUG